UACGGAAGGCAGCAGUGGGAAUAUUGCACAAUGGGCGAAAGCCUGAUGCAGCUAUGCCGCGUGUAUGAAGAAGGCCUUAGGGUUGUAAAGUACUUUCAUCGGGGAGGAAAAAACAAAACUAAUAAUUUUAUUUCUUGACGUUACCCGAAAAAGAAGCACCGGCUAACUCCGUGCCAGCAGCCGCGGUAAUACGGAGGGUGCUAGCGUUAAUCAGAAUUACUGGGCGUAAAGAGCACGUAGGUGGUUUUUUAAGUCAGAUGUGAAAUCCCUGGGCUUAACCUAGGAACUGCAUUUUGAAACUGAAAUACUAGAGUAUCGUAGAGGGAGGUAGAAUUCUAGGUGUAGCGGUGAAAUGCGUAGAUAUCUGGAGGAAUACCUGUGGCGAAAGCGGCCUCCUAAACGAAUACUGACACUGAGGUGCGAAAGCUGGGGAGCAAACAGGGAUUAGAUACC
rnacentral:rRNA from 1 species